AUGGGCCGCGGCCGUGUCAGGAGGCGCCCACCGACCCCCUCCGACUCCUCAUCGUCGGAGGAGGAGCUCCUGCUGCCGGUCGGCGUGGAGGCGGAGGAUGAGGACGAGGCGGACGAUGAGUCGGAGGACGACCACGAGCUCAUACUUCUGCCGGUCGGCGCGGAGGUGGAGGUGCGCAGCGACGACCCGGGCUUCGCCGGCUCCUUCUACGAGGCCACCGUCGCCGGCCACCUGCUCUCCGCCGGCCGCCGCGGGCGCUACACGGUGGAAUACACCACGCUCCUGGCCGACGACGGGGACGACGAGCCGCUCACGGAGACCGCGUCCGCCGCCAACGUGCGGCCGCGGCCACCACCGCUCGAGCAAAGGGAGUUCGCGGUCCACGAGAUGGUGGAGGCGUUCCACAACGACGGGUGGUGGGCCGGCGUGGUCUGCGCCGUCGUCCCGCCGCCAGUGAUGGACGGAGAUCGCCGGCAGCCCAGGGCGUACUACAGGGUCACGUUCCCCACCUCGCGGGAGACGCUGGAGUUCGAGGUGACGGAUCUGCGGCCGCACCGCGUGUUCGAGGACGGCCGGUGGGUCCCGGCUGCAGAGCUGGACGAUGGAAGUCCUUUGUUCGGUGAGGGAAACCAAGUUGAAGUGAGUGGAAAAUCCUUCGGUGAAUCCUGGAGUCCAGCUACUGUUCUUAAAGUGAUCGGUGGUACAAAUUUUCUAGUACAGUACAUGCAUAUUGAAAAUGACGGGGAAUUGGCCACUGAGAUUGUCGAUUCUCAAGAUAUUCGGCCAGCACGCGCCUUCACCCGUAUGGACUCCAAGUACAGAUUUUCUCCUCCUUCUCAUGUUGAGGUCCACCAUGAAGGUAGCUGGUGGCCUGGUGUUAUUAAUAAGGUUUUAGGUAGUGGAAUCAACAAGAAGUAUGUGGUGAAAUUGAAGAAUCACGAGACAGACAUGGAAGACGUGCAACCUGUUGAUGUUUUGACGGUUGAAAAUACGCAACUAAGGCCACGGUUUGACUGGGACGGUAAAAAAUGGGUACGCUGCGUGAAAGAGGAAUCUUCUAAUGAACCUCGAUUUACUUCUCGAAAAAGGCUAGUUUCUGCCUUGUAUGAUGACUCUGAUAAAACCGGUAAUGAAGCCGAUUCUCGUCGUGACAAAAAGUUGAAGAAUAAAGAUGUGAUAUCAGGACAAAUUUCUCCUCUUCCUUUGUCCAUUUGCAACGAGAACAAUGAAAUUACUCAUAAUCAAGGAAAUGCAGUAUUGGCAUUACGGUCUGAGCUAUCACUUCCUUCACUGCCACCAUUGGCAGCAUUUAACCAGCUGAGUUCAUCUUCACUUGCUCCAAGCUGUCAUCUGGAACAAGCAUCUUCUCAGAUGGUUAUCAUACCAUCUAUGCCAGAAAGUCGGCAGUUACGGGCUUUGUUGUUUGGAGCAUUUGGACAACCAACAGCUGACCUACAGGACCGACUAUUAGGUUCACAAGAGGGUAGUGGAAUAGUUGAUCUUCAUCAAGGAGGCUAUGAUGGUGAAACUAGUGUUGAGCAGGACACUGGUGAAGAAUUAUGUCAGAGGUAUUUGGUUAUGGAUGAUAAUGCCAAUGUUCCUUUGUUGCCCUCAGCAGAGAGUUGUGAAGCUAAUUUGCGCGACAACCGGCUGUCCAAGGACAACACUGCAGCUGCGGUGGAGUGUGUUACUUGUUAUGCUGCUCCAGCCGAGGACUUGUCUCUCAUACCUGUAGCUACUUUAGAUGGUGUUGUACCUUUAGAGUGGGAUUUGGAGGUCAAUAUAACUGAAGAUAUGGAUGGGGAGAUUCAUCAAGGGAAUUUGGUUGGGUUAGCCAACAAUGGGAAUCAAAAUCAGUAUACCAGUGCUGAUUGUCCAUUCUCAGCCACAUUCUCAGCCACAUCCUUAGCUGCACUCGAGGAUGACAUGAUUACCACUGAAAGUCCAAGCAGGAAGUUCUUCUUAUGCAGUAGCCAAUCCACCGAGAAGUCGACAGUAACUCGGCUGUCUUCUGUUGGUAUGAGCAAUUAUAGUGUGACAGAACCUUCCGAUGAUAGCUUGACCAUAACAAAUGGUGUGGAGGGCACAACAGUAUCCACGUAUGUUGCAGUAAGUGAUUCUGUCCUACCAUUGUUGCCGGAAUCUGUAGCUAUGCAUGAGAGUACCAUGGGAUCCUUGGCAAUCCAGCGUCUUCCAUUCGUGAAGACCUCUCCAAUGUGGGCACAUCUUGAGGCACUGGAAAUAUUCAGGAAAGCGCCACAGCGGCCACAUUUUCAUCAGUUCGAACAGUAUUGUCCAGAGCUCCGCGAAGGGAUGGCAUUAGGUUUGAUGCACUCCUUUGCCAAUUUAGCAGAAAGCAUAAACAUGCUGGAUGUUCAGGGUGACAAAGAACAACUCGAACAGAAGAUGAAGAGCCUCGCUUUGCUCGAGGAGAAUGGUUUCGACGUCACGUACCUGAGAUCACGCGUGGAAACUUUACUCGCCACAGAUGAUAGUCGCGUCGAAGAGCUGGAGGAGAAGAUUGCUCGCAUAGAAACCAACGACCAAGAACUCGGCACGCGAGUUCGCGCGCUGGCCAUGACCGUCCAUCGUCUCGAACUGCAUGCGUAUCUCAUGCGCAACAUGAUGCGGUCUGUUAUCACGCGGAAGAUGAGCAAUGCUGUGAAGAUCUCAAGACUCAAGGCAGAAGCGAACGAUCUUGAGAGAUCGUAUCUUUCCAACGCCGCGCCACGGUGA
rnacentral:rRNA from 1 species